rnacentral:rRNA from 1 species
AACGAACGCUGGCGGCAGGCCUAACACAUGCAAGUCGAGCGCGCCUUCGGGUGAGCGGCGGACGGGUGAGUAACGCGUGGGAAUAUGCCCUUCUCUACGGAAUAGUCCUGGGAAACUGGGGGUAAUACCGUAUACGCCCUUUGGGGGAAAGAUUUAUCGGGGAAGGAUUAGCCCGCGUUGGAUUAGGUAGUUGGUGGGGUAAUGGCCUACCAAGCCGACGAUCCAUAGCUGGUUUGAGAGGAUGAUCAGCCACACUGGGACUGAGACACGGCCCAGACUCCUACGGGAGGCAGCAGUGGGGAAUCUUAGACAAUGGGGGCAACCCUGAUCUAGCCAUGCCGCGUGAGUGAUGAAGGCCUUAGGGUUGUAAAGCUCCUUCAGCUGGGAAGAUAAUGACGGUACCAGCAGAAGAAGCCCCGGCUAACUCCGUG